rnacentral:lncRNA from 1 species
UGACGUCAGUCCAUGCAUGGACUUCUAUCACUGACGUUUUUGAUCUACAUGCUUGUAGUCAUAAACAAGAACAGGUCCAUCAGUAAGUUCAAGCAUGAACUUAAAGUUAGUGUCCUAUCGUUAUCAGAAGUUCAAGCAUGAACUCAGAUCUUCCGAUUGAUAUGAUUCUCAAGCUUGGGAAUUAAUCAAUCACUGUGACAACAACCGAGACGGCUAAACGCCAAAUGAUGUUUAUUUUAUUGUAUGUAUAUCAUGUAGUAUGUAUCUUAGUUUAUUAUAUCUUAAUAAAUAUAUAUUCUAUGUUUUGUUGUGUAUAAAGGGUUAUUUAUAUAGGUUCACCUAAAUAAAUUGGUUUUAUACACACAAAACUAUUUUUCACGUGCACCUUAUGGUGCCUCAUGCAUGAAGAGUGAAGUCAUAUAGCACGUGACCUAUGCCAUUAUUAAUUUGCAAUGGAGUAGUGUGGUCGAUUCUAUAUAGACUAACCACCACCUUCCCCACCG